UACGGAGGGGGCAAGCGUUGCUCGGAAUCACUGGGCGUAAAGGGCGCGUAGGCGGGAUGGCAAGUCAGUCGUGAAAUCUCUCGGCUCAACCGAGAAACGUCGGCUGAUACUGCCGUUCUUGAGGGAUGCAGAGGAGACUGGAAUUCCCGGUGUAGCGGUGAAAUGUGUAGAGAUCGGGAGGAACACCGGUGGCGAAGGCGGGUCUCUGGGCAUUUCCUGACGCUGAGGCGCGAAAGCGUGGGGAGCAAACGGG
rnacentral:rRNA from 1 species